rnacentral:piRNA from 1 species
UGCACCAGUUGCUGGACUUACUUCCU